rnacentral:rRNA from 1 species
UACGAAGGGGGCUAGCGUUGUUCGGAAUUACUGGGCGUAAAGCGCACGUAGGCGGAUAUUUAAGUUAGGGGUGAAAUCCCAGGGCUCAACCCUGGAACUGCCUUUAAUACUGGGUAUCUCGAGUCCGAGAGAGGUGAGUGGAAUUCCGAGUGUAGAGGUGAAAUUCGUAGAUAUUCGGAGGAACACCAGUGGCGAAGGCGGCUCACUGGCUCGGUACUGACGCUGAGGUGCGAAAGCGUGGGGAGCAA